GCCCGCCUAGCUCAAUCGGAUAGAGCGUCAGACUCUUAUUCGAUUUCGUUUCGAAAUGCUUGACUGGGCAUCUGAAGGCUGCGAGUUCGACCCUCGCGGUGGGCU